rnacentral:lncRNA from 1 species
GCUGACCUGUCCCUGUCUGGCCUCAGCUGACUGUGAUGAGAUACCAGCUCUCUGAUGACCUCCCCUCACCACUUCCCUUCCGGCUGUUUCCCUCUGUACAAUGGGACCAAGGCUCAGGCCGGCUCCAGGUUUACCUGAAGUUACGGUGUGACCUGCCCCCAAAGAGCCAAGCUCUCAACAUUCAUCUGCACCUUCCCCUGCCUCGAGGGGUCGUCAGGUCAGCAUGCUUGCUGGGAAGACUCCCUGGGGUAGAGCCUCUGCUCUACCAAGGAAGCAGCCACUUAGUUUAGCAUAUUCCCUGUCCACCAUCCAGCCUGUCUCAGGAACUGAGCAGCCCAGAUCAGAAGGCAGAGCUGGGAGAAGGAGCCCUUCACUGGGAC